GUUAAAAAGCUCGUAGUUGGAUUUCUGUUGAGGAUGACCGGUCCGCUCUUUGAGCGCGUAUCUGGUUCAGCCUUGGCAUCCUCUUGGGGAACGCUACUGUGCUUGAUUGCAUGGGGCGGUAUUCAAGACUUUUACUUUGAGGAAAUUAGAGUGUUCACUGCAAGCGUUAGCAAUUGAAUACAUUAGCAUGGAAUAAUAAUAUAGGACCUUGGUACUAUUUUGUUGGUUUCUAGAACUAAGGUAAUGAUUAAUAGGGACAAUUGGGGGCAUUCGUAUUAACGCGUCAGAGGUGGAAUUCUUAGAUUGCGUUACGACGAACUACUGCGAAAGCAUUUGCCAAGGAUGUUUUCAUUGAUCAAGAACGAAAGUAUGGGGAUCGAAGACGCUUAGAUACCGUCGUAGUCUAUACCAUAAACUAUGCCAACUUGAGAUUGGAGGUCGUUCUCUUUAUGACUCCUUCAGCACCUUAUGAGAAAUCAAAGUCUUGGGUUCCGGGGGGAGUAUGGUCGCAAGG
rnacentral:rRNA from 1 species